rnacentral:rRNA from 1 species
UACGUAGGGUGCAAGCGUUGUCCGGAAUUAUUGGGCGUAAAGAGCUCGUAGGCGGUUUGUCGCGUCUGCUGUGAAAACGCGAGGCUCAACCUCGCGCCUGCAGUGGGUACGGGCAGACUAGAGUGCGGUAGGGGAGAUUGGAAUUCCUGGUGUAGCGGUGGAAUGCGCAGAUAUCAGGAGGAACACCGAUGGCGAAGGCAGAUCUCUGGGCCGUAACUGACGCUGAGGAGCGAAAGCGUGGGGAGCGAAUAGG